GCGCCGUUAGCUCAGUCUGGUAGAGCAGCUCCCUUUUAAGGAGAUGGUCGGGGGUUCAAUUCCCUCACGGCGCACCA
rnacentral:tRNA from 2 species